rnacentral:rRNA from 1 species
AACGAACGCUGGCGGCAUGCCUAACACAUGCAAGUCGAACGAAACGUUCGGGCCUAGUUGCGCACGGGUGCGUAACGCGUGGGAACCUGCCCUUAGGUUCGGUAUAACUCCCCGUAAGGGGUGUUAAUACCGGUUAAUGUCUUCGGACCUAGGAUUUAUGGCGUCUGGAUGGGCCCGCGUCGGAUUGGCUAGUUGGUAGGGUAAAAGCCUACCAAGGACAGGUUCCAUGGCUGGUCUGAUAGGAUGAUCAGCCACACUGGAACUGAGACACAGCCCAGACUCGUACGGAACGGAGCAGAAGAGAAUAUUAGACAAUGGGCGAAGACCUGAUCAAGCAAUGCCGGGGAAGAGGUGAAGGCCUUUGGGUUGUAAAGCUGUUUUUGCCGGAAUGAUAAUGACGGUAACGGGAAAAGAAGCACCGGCUAACUACGUG